CAUUAGCUCAGUCGGUAGAGCACUUGACUUUUAAUCAAGUUGUCCGGAGUUCGAAUCUCC
rnacentral:tRNA from 2 species